rnacentral:rRNA from 1 species
CAACGCCGCGUGUGUGAUGAAGGUCUUCGGAUCGUAAAGCACUUCGACCGGGACGAAAACCCCUUGGCUAACAUCCAGGGGCUUGACGGUACCGGGAGAAGAAGCACCGGCUAACUCUGUGCCAGCAGCCGCGGUAAUACGUAGGGAGCAAGCGUUGUCCGGAAUCAUUGGGCGUAAAGCGCGCGUAGGCGGCCUUGUAAGUCCGUUGUGAAAGUCAAAGGCUCAACCUUUGAAAGCCGAUGGAUACUGUGAGGCUAGAGUCCGGAAGAGGCGAGUGGAAUUCCUGGUGUAGCGGUGGAAUGCGCAGAUAUCAGGAGGAACACCAAUAGCGAAGGCAGCUCGCUGGGACGGUACUGACGCUAAGGCGCGAAAGCGUGGGGAGCGAACAGGAUUAGAUACCCUGGUAGUCCACGCCGUAAACGAUGGGCACUAGGUGCGGGAGGUGUCGACUCCUCCCGUGCCGUCGCUAACGCACUAAGUGCCCCGCCUGGGGAGUACGGCCGCAAGGCUA